rnacentral:lncRNA from 1 species
GCAGAGUCUGUCCAAGGAGGGGAAACCAGGAUCUAUUUGGAUCUGCCACAGAAUUUCAAGAUAUUCGUGAGCGGCAAUUCAAAUGAGUGUCUCCAGAAUAGUGGCUUUGAAUACACCAUUUGCUUUCUGCCACCACUUGUGCUGAACUUUGAACUGCCACCAGAUUAUCCAUCCUCCUCCCCACCUUCAUUCACACUUAGUGGCAAAUGGCUGUCACCAACUCAG